rnacentral:rRNA from 1 species
UACGUAGGGUGCGAGCGUUAAUCGGAAUUACUGGGCGUAAAGCGUGCGCAGGCGGUGAUGUAAGACAGGUGUGAAAUCCCCGGGCUUAACCUGGGAACUGCAUUGGUGACUGGCAGGCUUUGAGUGUGGCAGAGGGAGGUAGAAUUCCACGUGUAGCAGUGAAAUGCGUAGAGAUGUGGAGGAAUACCGAUGGCGAAGGCAGCCUCCUGGGCCAACACUGACGCUCAUGCACGAAAGCGUGGGGAGCAAACAGG